CCAAUGCAGAAUAAGCAAAAGAAGAACACGACGCCGCCUGGAGAUUUGAUUGCCCUCCGACUUCGCUUGUUUCUCGAGAUCAGUAAUCUAUUGCUUCCCGUAUGCAGUUCUUUAAUUCGCUUUAGCCACUGCGGAAUUAUUGCCGACGAGAAAUAAGAGGAGAAGGCUGAGAGAUCGAAGAGUGGGAGUCAAAGCAGUAGGUGUGGGGAGGAGCGGCCGCCCUCCGAUCCUUCGGAGCUGCGAGAAGUUCCGCCAAAAUCUGGGGUUUUGGAGGCAGAAUUGGGUCUGCGCCGCCUCGACUUCCGCCAGGAUCGAUCCUUCGUAGCUCGAUUCGCCCGGGAUCGUGGGUCGUUCGUACUUCCUCGAGACGCUUGCUUCCAGUGUACGGGUAAGGGUUGGAGAAUUUGUCGUUCUCGGUUAGGGAUUGCCCUUGCCCUGUAUUUAUAGGGGGAUUUUGAGCAGAGGGGGGUUCUGGAUUCUUCCUUGUCGUGUGGCCGUGUGGACUUUAGCAGCCUUCUAGGGUUGGAAAGUUGAGAUUUUUCUGGGAUCAUUUUUGGGUCUUUUCUGGUGCUCGGUGCCGGCGGUGGCCAUGAUGGUGAUGGUGUAUGGGGAGUAGCAUAGAUGGGGUUGGAUUCGAAGAUGGUAAGCUAACCGCAGCCGGGAUGCCGAGCUUUGUUUCGUCCACGACGGUGGUUCAGAACAAUAGCAGAGAAGGAAACACGACACAGAGAAUUUCAGACUUUGGCGUGCUCGAGCAGUCUAUCACAUUUCAUAUAGAUCCAGCAGUUAGUGUGAAACAUAGUGGACAAUCUAUAAAUUCUGACCCUUCUCAAUUUGGAGUUCUUGGUAAACCUAUUGCUUCCACUGAAAUUGCACCUUCAGCAGCUAGAGUUGAAUCUUUGACGUCAUUCCAACAUAAGGAAAAGCUACACAGCUUAAUAUCAUUUUCCAGUGGUCAAUUUGAGAAUUGGGGAGAGUCAAUGGCAGAUGCUAGUCCUAGGACAGAUACCUCCACAGACGUGGACACUGAUGACAAAAAUCAGAGGUUAGAACGAGGACAACUUGCUUUUGCAGCAGCAUCUGAUUCUAGUGACAGGUCGAAGGACAAAACACUAGACCAGAAGACCCUUCGACGACUUGCUCAAAAUCGUGAAGCUGCCAGGAAGAGUAGGUUAAGAAAAAAGGCUUACGUGCAACAGCUAGAAAGUAGUAGACUGAAGCUUACUCAACUUGAGCAGGAGCUUCAAAAAGCUCGUCAGCAGGGAAUUUUUAUUUCUAACUCAGGAGAUCAAUCCCAUGCUACAAGUGGAAAUGGGGCCUUGACCUUUGAUGUAGAAUAUGCACGAUGGCUCGAAGAACAUAAUCGGCAGAUCAGUGAACUGAGGGCUGCAGUGAAUGCUCAUGCCAGUGAAAAUGAUCUUCGUGUUAUUGUUGAUGGUGUCAUGGCGCAUUAUGAUGAGAUAUUUAGGCUUAAGGGCAUUGCUGCCAAGGCAGAUGUGUUUCACAUAUUAUCAGGCAUGUGGAAGACACCAGCUGAAAGGUGUUUCUUGUGGCUGGGGGGUUUCCGUUCAUCUGAGCUUCUAAAGGUGCAGAACCUUAUACCUUAUGCUUUUGACUACUUGCAAAUCAGUUGGAGCCGCUAACAGAGCAGCAAAUGAUGGGCAUAUGCAACCUCCAGCAGUCAUCACAGCAGGCUGAGGAUGCUCUCUCUCAAGGGAUGGACGCAUUACAGCAAUCAUUGUCAGAAACUUUGGCCGGGUCUCUUGGUCCUUCGGGAACUUCAGGGAAUGUUGCAAAUUACAUGGGUCAGAUGGCUAUGGCAAUGGGGAAACUUGGAACUCUUGAGAAUUUCCUUCACCAGGCAGACAACCUGCGACAGCAAACCCUGCAACAAAUGCACCGGAUAUUAACUACUCGUCAGUCUGCACGGGCACUUCUUGCCAUCAGUGAUUACUUCUCACGUCUUCGUGCCCUGAGCUCUCUGUGGCUUGCUCGGCCCCAGGAGUAAGAAACCCAUUUUAUGUGUUGUUGUUCUAUCCAAGCACAGUGCUUCCUGCUUAAGGGCUUAUUUGCCGAAGUAUUUAUCUUGUGGUUGGUUGUUGGCUCCUCUACUACUGAUGGCUGGAUGAUCGUGCAUUAGUCUCAAGAUUCUCAGGGGAGCUAACCCAGAUCUCGUAGAGCAUGAGUGGUCACCAUCACCAUGCAAUGUACCAUUGCCUGUGUAAGAAAAACUCGUCUGUCAUCUUUGUUUUCAUUGUCUACUUUUGUAAGUCUCAGGUGAAAAUAAAAAUACAAUUGUCACAAUAAUCUAUCAGAUUCGUUGCUAAUGUUUCAUCUGUUUCUUAAUUCAAUCACCGACAAGGAUCAGACCUUGUUUAUUGUAUCCA